GUAGAGCGCACCCCUGAUAAGGGUGAGGUCCCUGGUUCGAGUCCAGGAUGGCCCACCUUCAUUGCUAUGGGGGUUUAGCUCAGUUGGUAGAGCGCCUGCUUUGCAAGCAGGAUGUCAGCGGUUCGAGUCCGCUAACCUCCACUGAUUAUGAUGCAACAACUUCGGUAAUCAAUUUUUGAUUAAGAAGCCUGUUGGAUGCAUAGUCCAACCAGAACCAAGAAAACUGCAUAAGAGAUAAGUAGGUAGUAAUGCGAUUACUAGUUCUAUGAAAGUAGGAAUAGUAAGAGCGUCACAGACACCAAUGUAAGAAGCGUCAAAAGAAUUGAUGAAUUUGAGUGAACUUCUUAAGAGUUAUCAGUAGACAGUGAGCAGUUAUCAGUUUUAGAACUGACGACUAGGAACUGACGAUUGAGGACUUAGAGGAAGCAA
rnacentral:tRNA from 1 species